UACGUAGGGGGCUAGCGUUGUCCGGAUUUAUUGGGCGUAAAGAGCUCGUAGGCGGUUUGUCGCGUCUGCUGUGAAAACUGGAGGCUCAACCUCCAGCCUGCAGUGGGUACGGGCAGACUAGAGUGCGGUAGGGGAGAUUGGAAUUCCUGGUGUAGCGGUGGAAUGCGCAGAUAUCAGGAGGAACACCGAUGGCGAAGGCAGAUCUCUGGGCCGUAACUGACGCUGAGGAGCGAAAGCAUGGGGAGCGAACAGG
rnacentral:rRNA from 1 species